rnacentral:rRNA from 1 species
AGUGAACGCUGGCGGCGUGCCUAAUACAUGCAAGUCGAACGGAGUGGCGCACGGGUGAGUAAUGUAUAGCUAAUCUGCCCUACACUAGAGGACAACAGUUGGAAACGACUGCUAAUACUCUAUAGUGUAGGAUGUGGCUAUAUUGUAUCAGCUAGUUGGUGAGGUAAUGGCUCACCAAGGCUAUGACGCAUAACUGGUCUGAGAGGAUGAGCAGUAAAAUCGGACCUGAGACACGGGUCAGACUCCUACGGGAGGCAGCAGUAGGGAAUAGUGCUCAAUGGGGGAAACCCUGAAGCAGCAACGCCGCGUGGAGGAUUAGACUUUGCGGAGCGUAAACUCCUGUUGUUAGGGAAGCGGUACCUAACGAAUAAGCACCGGCUAACUCCGUGCCAGCAGCCGCGGUAAUUC